UUGAGGCUUGACCCCGAGGACCGGAAAAAUGGAGAAGCAAGGCCCGGGUGACAGUGGAUUGUUAGUUUCCGUCCACGCGAGCGAUAACAUUGCAGUGACGCCAUCUUGUUUGGAACGGUGUGAAACUACCGUUUGCAGGGAUGUCAAAGUAAAUACAAACAAAGCAAGUUUUGUUGUGGGAUCAUUUCUAAAUACAAAAACAGUUGAGAGUGAGGCUAUUUGGCCUGGAAAAAUUUGCGUUCAACAUGGUGAUUUUUAUUUUUUUUUUUUUUUACGAAAGUGUCCCAUCAAUUCUUAUUUUUUAUGAAAUAACGAACAUUUUUAACAGACAGAUAGUUGUCGUGGCGGACAUGGCUCAAGCAGUCUUGUGUAGACUUGGCAUCUCGCUUCCAAUCCAAAAAGCUGGCAGCCGACUCGCGGCUCAGACUUCACCUCCACUUCCUCAUUUCCUGCUCUGCUGCCAGUUGAGUGCAGCACAAGUAAUUGCCCGACACUUUUCCCCACUCGGGCGCACGGGGACUCAUCGGUAGUGAACCCAAACGGGCCUAAUGAUGGCGCUGGUAUCUAAAUGACCCCCACAGCACCUCAACCUGUUUAUGUCUGGUGGCCAGUAAGUAAACUCUGGUGUUUGGUGGAGAAUGCAGCAGAUCUCUUAUCGGCCCCUCCAAUAGUUCAUUUUCAGAAUUAUUACUUUUUUUUUUAAACAUCACUAGGCCUGUAAAUGACACAAUGUUGAAAUGCGCAACCCAGAGCACAUAAAAAUACAUCACUGGAUGAUUUUUUUUUUUUGUGGUGAAGUAUGACCUAAUUCCUCUCUGGGAGGUGGACGACAUGGACACGGCACUCUUGUACGCUCGCAGCCAGAGAGGAUUAAGUGAGACCGAACGCUGCAAGCAAACUGGUUCCCAUCCAACAUGUGCUUGAAGAAAGUGAUGGGAGGAGGCGAAGCGGGCCAGGAGUCCAAACUAACUGCGACCCAAAAUGUCAGCCGACAGUGUUCACCUGUGUGAACAAGUCACGCCCACAGGAAGUGCACCAAAGAAGAACAGGAAGUGGGGAAGAGAUUUAGUGUGACACACCCACAGGAAGUGCACCAAAGAACAGGAAGUGGGGAAGAGAUUUUGUAUGACACCUAUACACAGAUACAGGUGCAACUGCAGUUGGCUGAAUGGCUGGCAGAGUGAAUAAAAAAACCAGAAGACAAAAAGUCAUCCUAAUAAUAAUAAAUUGUCGGAUAUCAACAAUGACUUUGCAUGGAUUAUUUUGUGGAGCAAGUCUGGAAAGAAAAUCUUCAAAUCUGCUUGGAGGAACUCGUGACCCACCUGCUUGGAAGACAAUCGACAUCAAACACACACGGAGGGAGGCGCUCUAAUUGAUGGCGACGCACAGAUGGCCUUCGGCCCUCGUGACCACAAGAGCGUUGCAGGCCGGCUCCCCUGCCGUGCAGGCCUGUAAAAAAGCGGCGAUGCUUCAUGGCCCAUCAAUUCACCAGGUGAACGCAAAAGGCCGCCCUCCCAUUUGCCUCCGAGUUUGGAUCGCUUUGCACUUUUUGCGGGAAUGCGGCGAGGUCGGAGUUCACAACGUCUCCCAAGUUGGCUUUUUACAAGGCCACGCGGUGCGGAAAGGACCAAAGUGACUAAACCGGACGGCCGAGCAAGAACUCCAGUCGGCGUUUUAUUGCCGCAUAUCAGGCGAUUGACCCUCGUGCAUAUAAAUCAACUUGCUGCUGAUAAAAUUGUAUCCUGUCGUCAAAUUUGAUUGUGGGUAGAUGAACAGAAUAAUCUCAAAAAGCCACGACCUGUGUUGAAGAAAAAAAAAAAA